rnacentral:rRNA from 1 species
AUUGAACGCUGGCGGCAGGCCUAACACAUGCAAGUCGAGCGGAUGAAGGGAGCUUGCUCCUGGAUUCAGCGGCGGACGGGUGAGUAAUGCCUAGGAAUCUGCCUGGUAGUGGGGGAUAACGUCCGGAAACGGGCGCUAAUACCGCAUACGUCCUGCGGGAGAAAGUGGGGGAUCUUCGGACCUCACGCUAUCAGAUGAGCCUAGGUCGGAUUAGAUAGUUGGUGGGGUAAAGGCCUACCUAGGCGACGAUCCGUAACUGGUCUGAGAGGAUGAUCAGUCACACUGGAACUGAGACACGGUCCAGACUACUACGGGAGGCAGCAGAGGGGAAUAUUGGACAGUGGGCGGAAGCCUGAUCCAGCCGUGCCGAGUGUGUGGAGAAGGUCUUCGGAUUGUAAAGCACUUUAAGUUGGGAGGAAGGGCAGUAAGUUAAUACCUUGCUGUUUUGACGUUACCAACAGAAUAAGCACCGGCUAACUUCGUG